CUCAGGUUUGUCAAAGAUCAGAUAGUUGUAGAUAUGCGGCAUUAUUUCUGAGGCCUCUGUUCUGUUCCAUUGAUCUAUAUCUCUGUUUUGGUACCAGUAUCAAGCCAAAAGAACAAAGCUGGAGGCAUCACACUACCCGACUUCAAACUAUACUACAAGGCUACUGUGUCAACACUUUUAAUGUGGCUAAGUCGCUAAUAGAAUCAAAUCUAAAAGACAUAUGACCUCCCAAUUUUGUAAAUCAAUUUAACAAUUAUUAUUUAAAUACCUACUUAUUUCUAAAAAUGUCUAGGCAGCCCACAUCUCAUACUGCCUCUGUCUCUAUGCACUGUGCUUGGUUGAAUGCACACUGAGAGUGGAGGACAGAGUUGUUUACCAAACAUUAUUCCCCUAACUUGAAGGUCCCUUUGCUCUUUUUUUAUUUCUGCUAUUUUUCUUCCCAUCUCCCUGGGGAAUCCUAACAAGAUUACAUACUAGAGAGAUAAAAUCCAUUGCUUUGCUAUUGUGGCCGCACUAUGAUCCUUCUUUCUCUGGCUCCAAUUUGCUGAAGUCCCAAUGACACAGCACAAAAGAGAAGAAAAUAUUUGCUAUAAUCCCUACUUUUCAAUAAUUUUAGAAAUAAUUUCUUUUGCCUAAUUCUACCUCUUUACUUUCAUCAAUCUUUUGCUCCAAGAAAGAAAGGUGUUAUGGGGAACAGUUAUGCUCACUAUCUUUGUGAUUCCAUAGAAAAGAAAAGGAAGCUUCUGUCAGCACACACACUCCACAUAUUCAUACACACCACAGACACAAACCACACUCACCACACAUGCACACACACCCCACAUAAACACACCAGGCACAUACUCUGCCUCUGCCUCCCCAGUCUUGAAGGCAACGCUACAGGUUCCUGGCUUCUCCAUUUGUGACUGGGGAAAUUGAUUCCAGUUGAAAAAAUUGCAUAAUAAAGCUAACUUUUUCUCAUUUUGUCUCAAAUCCUUGUGUGUAUAAUAUAUUGCCAAGAAUACUGACUAACUCCAUGCAAAGAUUCCUUCAGGAAGUAAUAAUGUUGAGAUCUAGACCCCAUUAAUUUGGCCAGUUAUUGCUAAGUAAUGUGACGGAACUUUUAAUGUUUGGGGGUGGGAGUGUGUGAAUCUCACUGCUUUGUGUAUUGUGCUCAGAAGCUAAAAUAAUUUCUGUCUGCCCUCCUUCCACUUUAUUCCAUACUAGUAUCAGAAGGAAGAGUACAAUGAAUGAGGCUGCUGACAUAUUGUGGUAAACCAGAUCCAACCCUUGGGGCUUCCUAAUGUACUUAACUUAUUAAGAUUAAUUUUCUGGAAGACUCCAUCUUUUAACUGCUGUUCCUGAGUCUGCUCUUUGCUGGGUAUGAGUAUGCUUCGAUGAAACUGACACUCCAUUUCCACAUUUGUAGGAAAGCCUCUUGGCCAUAGGAUAAUGACCCACAUCCAUCCACCACAGCCACACACGGAGCUGGCAAGAAUGCAGCUCCUCACUCACAGCUGCCUCUGCAGGCAGGGCUGCGGAUGGCGCUGAAGCAGAAGAAAAAUGGAAAAAUGAAGCAAAAGAAGAAAACCUUUCCCUUAAUACCUCCCCGCAAACCUGGUUCAUCGGGCAUUUAAAGGAAGACAACACUCAGUUGGCACAUGCAGCAUCUCACAGGAACAAUUAGGCUUGAGAACAAGAACAGGGGAGUGAGAAUUGUUAGUGCAGCACCCUAAUCCUGACGUAUUCAUAUUUAGAGAGGAUUUAGGAGGCAUCAGCGCUGGCUAUGCUGCUUCGUGGGUCGCCUCUUGCUCAUUUGCCACCCUCGUGGCUCCGUCAUGGCCCUGGGAAGGGAAACUGAGAAACAACAUGUGUGAGAUCUCAGAGUCUGGCCUAAUCAGAGGUAUUUUGCGUUUAUCUCUAGGGGUUCGAAAAAUUGGGCAAGAUGUGGCAGGUAAAGAAUGAGAAUGGACUCUUUUCCUCCUUUGAUGCUGUUUAAACCAUAUAUGUUCUUUUCCUCUGUUCUUGGAAAGGAGGACCUAAUGUCUUCUCACUUCCUGACCUCUCCUGAAUUCUUUAGACUGAAACCACGUCUUUCCCUUUGACCUUUAUUUCUUUGUUCAUACUGUCCUCAUAUUCCUUUCAGGUAACUGAAGGUUCAAAAAGGCAAGAUGGAUGUUAGAAUGGAUGUAGACAGUAUAAUCUCAAAAUUCUCUCAGGAGAUGUGGUAACUUAUUUGUGAUCUCCAGAUUCUCAUUUCUCAGUCCAGACCUCUCAUGAUUCCUAACAGAGAACUCAGUGUCCCAAAUGGAAUUUUCCUUCUAAACUUAUCUGCUCUGUUGUUUAUUCACUCUUCUUAUGUACACAACUGCCAUUUAUCUAUUCCUGCAAACCAGAGACCUAUGAGAGAGCAGCCCCUCCACCCUCUGCCAGAAGGUGCCCAUUCUGGCUUCUACAUCUCUUGAACUGCCCCUGCUCCUCUCCAGAGCCUUCACCCUGGGCAUGGUCCACACCUGCACCACCUUCACCUGGCCCACAACUGUGGUCCACAUGCCAGCUGGGUGCCCUGUCUUGCAACCUUGCGACUCUCUCCAGGAGUGGCUUACAGUGUUCCAGAAGCACUAGGCCCCGAACUGCGGCUUUUGCUGAAUGAGUUCAGGUUUGCAGAUGAUCUCAG
rnacentral:lncRNA from 10 species